rnacentral:sRNA from 1 species
GCCAGGCAUGGUGGUGCAUGCCUGUAAUCCUAGACUCCAGAGGCUGAGGUAGGAGGAUCACAAGUUCAAGGCCAGCCUCAGCAACUUAGUGAGGCCCUAAGCAACUUAGCAAGACUCUGUCUCAA